UCGUUCCCAGGGGCGUCAUCUUCAUCUUCCUCCUCAUACUCAAAGUGCCGUUUCUUGGACUUCUUCUUGUCUGCAGAUAAGGACACAGAACUGAGCCCCGCUGGGGCCUAGGUUCCCUCCGCACUGCACGGCGGCAACUCGCGGCAACCUCAUUCCACUUGCGCCACGAACUCCUAGCUCAGAACUAACAGGCACCGAGGGCACUAAUUGCUGAAUGAGGCAUUCUGCCUGACCCUGAGACAACAGAGUGCAUCAAGGUCUUGAGCUCUGAAGAGACUGGAGCCACACGAUCGCAAAAGUGUCAAGAUGAAAGAACCCAUUGCUAACAUUUGCUGCCCUGACUCUGAACAUCACUUCCUAUGGGCUAGGAUAGAUAACUAGGCGAAUCAUAAAGGCUAUGAUGAGAUGACCAACUUCCCUCUGCCCAGACCCUUUCACAAUGUCACUUCUACCUGGAGCCAGCCAAUCACGCAGGGACUGAAACUCCUGAAAUAUCCAAUGAACCAUCUCAGUAGACACCCUGACAAAUUGGACUGAAGGGGACAGAGAUGGCAUGAAAUGAAGGAACUUUGUCAGACUUUGCCUGUGAGUUACCCUUCAACAAAGGGGAAGAACGACCCCAAGGCAGCUCAGAGGCCGGCAGGAUUGCUUCUUCCACAACAGAUGGGAAUGUCUAUUCCCUACCUGUUCCAGUACUGUGAUUUGGAAGCAGAUACCGUGUCUGGUUUCACAG